AGGAGGAAGGUGAGAAGGAGGAGGAGCUAGCAGAAGAGGAUGAAGCCAUGGAGGAAGACGAGGACAUGGUAGAGGAGGCGGAACAGGAAGAGGAGGCGGUGGAAGAAACAGACGAGGUCACGGAAGAAACACAGGCCCCUGCAGAGGAGGAGGAGGAGGAAGAAGAAGAACAGGAGGAAGAGGCUGAGUAGUUGACACCAGGGGGCGUCAUCGAUGUUAAAAUGUUAAUAUCCAGCCUGAAGGAGCCUCCCGUUACGUCUCUCCCUGACCCUUUGACGCUUGACCCCCCUCCACCCGUCCCCAAGGACCCCACUGGAAACUGAUGGCCAUGUGUUUGUAGGCGCCAAGUCAAAAGCUAAAGUCCUGACACGCAUAUCUCAUUUUCUUUUGACUGCAAUGUUGACUUAAUUUUUAUAUUUUGCCUUUUAGAGACGUACUGUAAUGAAAAUGCACAGAGUAGCCAAGUGGUGUCGAGUAGCUUUUGUAAAAUGCUAUUCAGUUAUUUUGGUAAAAAUCGAACGUAUUUCUCGUGUUUUUCUUGUAGAAAUUCUAGUUUUCUAACCGAGAAGAAGUGGCCUUUACACAUUUUUGUUGGUAUAGCUUAGAUGGUUUUGCCCCAUUUCAGAUUGAAACUCACGCUCUAGUGUGUUCUGAUCUUUUAUCAGUAGUUUUACCAAUGUCGUGGAUCCUUCGAUCAAGUGAAUGUACAAAUUCAAGACUUCCUAAAGGCAACAUGAGGAAAAAUACGCACAUACUGCACCACCACUAUAGUUACGUCUGCCAAUACUGCUGUCUAAUCAAUGCACUUUGUUGAAUAAGGAGUGAACCAUGUGACUAAGACUUGCAUGCAAUGGAAAAUGCAAUAAAGUAAACUGGUAAAAACGA